rnacentral:rRNA from 1 species
CCUACGGGAGGCUGCAGUGGGGGAUAUUGCACAAUGGGGGCAACCCUGAUGCAGCGACGCCGCGUGGGCGAAGAAGUCUUUCGGUAUGUAAAGCUCUAUUAGUAGGGAAGAAGAAACGACGGUACCUGUGUAAGAAGCACCGGCUAACUACGUGCCAGCAGCCGCGGUAAUACGUAGGGUGCAAGCGUUAUCCGGAUUUACUGGGUGUAAAGGGAGCGCAGGCGGUACGGCAAGCCUGAUGUGAAAGCCCGCGGCCCAACCGCGGAACUGCCUUGGGAACUGUCGGGCUAGAGAGCGGGAGAGGUAGGCGGAAUGCAUGGUGUAGCGGUGAAAUGCGUAGAGAUUAGGCAGAACACCAGUGGCGAAGGCAGCCUACUGGACGGUGACUGACGCUGAGGCUCGAAAGCGUGGGGAGCAAACAGGAUUAGAUACCCCUGUAGUC